rnacentral:rRNA from 1 species
UACGUAGGGUGCGAGCGUUAAUCGGAAUUACUGGGCGUAAAGCGCACGUAGGCGGACCGGAAAGUCAGAGGUGAAAUCCCAGAGCUCAACUUUGGAACUGCCUUUGAAACUCCUGGUCUUGAGGUCGAGAGAGGUGAGUGGAAUUCCGAGUGUAGAGGUGAAAUUCGUAGAUAUUCGGAGGAACACCAGUGGCGAAGGCGGCUCACUGGCUCGAUACUGACGCUGAGGUGCGAAAGCGUGGGGAGCAAACAGG